UGUGUGUUUAUACACAUAAAGUAUUCAUUGAUGAAUAUAAUAUGGGAUAGGUCUUUUUCUUGGUAACAGGAAUAAAAGGCCAUUUGACAAGCAGAGUAUGUACAUAAAAAUGUUGCAUGUCAUAGUGCUUAGUGAUAGUUAGUUGUGCAGAACAAAGUAGAAUCAUUUCUUAGAAGCCAUAUAUUUUAUACAACACAUACAUUUGUAUAACAUUUCUGACCACCAUGAACAUGAGUCAUUUUCUUGCUUUUUUAGUGGCUAAGAUAUGCUUUGCUGGAAUAUCCAUAAAUGCCCUCAUUGUGUAAUUUCUCUAUUUUAGAGACAAUUGGCUUAAGAUUCCACUGUGAGAGAAGAAGCAGAAUUAACUUGCUCAGAGAAAGAUGGAGCCUCUGACCUUGACUUCAUUAACAUGAAAUAUGCCUCUAACUGAUGGGCCAUUUGAUAACAUGCCAUGCUGUAUAGAUGGAGUUUCCAGGAACUUCACAGCUAAGCAGAACAGAGAGAGCAGAGUUAAAGCAUUCAUCUGUCACAAUGUACACAGUGUUACACAAGGCUACAGACAGAACCUGUGCCAUAGUAAAUAGCCUUCUCAUUUUUGAGGGACCAUUUAGUUUUGGCAUAAGAUUAUCUAUAGCAUUAAAUUAUGCUGCUGAUUUGUAUUUUAUUAGUUUUGUAGAGCUUCUUGGUAUUUCCUUUGUAAAUCUGUUUUGCUUUUAGAGUUGUACAGAAGUAUGUACACUGAUUCAUAUGUUAAAGUUAAUUAAGGAAUAUUAUAAUAAAAUAAGAAACCAAGAGUAUGUAUUUCUGUGUAGCAUCUUGUUUAAAGGGUAAUAUAUUUUUUGUUUAUAAUAUGAAGUUCUCAUAACAUAAAUUAAGCCAUUUCAAAGUGAACAAUCCAAAGGCAAGUACAACACUCAUGAUGUUAUGCAAACAUCAACACUUUCUAGUUUUAAAACAAUUUUGUCACCCCAUAGAAAUCUUAUGUUCAUUAAUCAGUCACUCCCCAUUUCUUGUCAGACUACUAACUGCUUUCUGUCUCUAUAGAUAUAAAUAUUCAGGGUAUUUCACAUAGUUGGAAUCCUAUAAUAUAUGAUCUUUUGUGUCUGGCUUAUUUCAUUUAUUAUGUUUUAAAGUUUAUGCAUGUUAUAGCAUAUAUGAGUAUUACAUUCUUUUGCAUAUGAAGGAAUGCAUAAGUACAUAGAUAAAUAAUAUUCUAUUUUGCUGACAUGUUGUUUAUUCUUCCAUCAGUUGAUGGACAUUCUUUUUUGGCUAUUGUGAUUAGUGUUGCUAUGAACAUUCAUGUAUAAGUACUUGUUUGAUUUAGUCAUUUUUAAAAAAUGUGUAUGAUGUCAUUACACACAGAAAUGUUUAAUUAUCACUUUUGCUAUUAAUGUGAAUGAAUAAUUUUGUUACAAGCUUAAAAAUAAAACACAAUGUUCAGAUACA